UACGGCGGGGGCAAGCGUUGUUCGGAAUCACUGGGUGUAAAGGGUGCGUAGGCGGUCCGUUAAGUCUGAUGUGAAAGCCCUGGGCUCAACUCAGGAAUUGCAUUGGAAACUGGCGGGCUGGAGUACGGGAGAGGGAAGCGGAAUUCCUGGUGUAGCGGUGAAAUGCGUAGAUACCAGGAGGAACACCGGUGGCGAAGGCGGUUUCCUGGCCCAGUACUGACGCUGAGGCACGAAAGCGUGGGGAGCGAACCGG
rnacentral:rRNA from 1 species